UUGUGCUUGAUCUAACCAUGCAGUUCCCUUUCUGUCCAUGGUUGUGCCAAGCACUUUG
ensembl:miRNA